rnacentral:rRNA from 1 species
CGCAUCUGUGCAUGCAGCAUAUCAAUAAGCGGAGGAAAAGAAACUAACAAGGAUUCCCUUAGUAACGGCGAGUGAAGCGGGAAGAGCUCAAAUUUGAAAUCUUCAAGGUUUUACCUUGACGAAUUGUAGUUUAAAGAAGUGUUUUCUGUUGAAGUUUUGGUAAAAGUUCUUUGGAAUAGGACAUCAUAGAGGGUGAGAAUCCCGUAUUUGACCAUUAUUUUCAGCUGUGUGAUACACUUUCAAAGAGUCGGAUUGUUUGGGAAUGCAGUCCAAAAUGGGUGGUAAAUUUCAUCUAAAGCUAAAUAUUGGCGAGAGACCGAUAGCGAACAAGUACCGUGAGGGAAAGAUGAAAAGAACUUUGAAAAGAGAGUUAAACAGUACGUGAAAUUGUCAAAAGGGAAGCGUUUGACACCAGUGUUGUUUUCUCGAAAAUCAAUUAAAAAGAGUUUGAUUUUGUUGUGUAUUGACCUUAACAGCUUGCAUUUCAAUUUUCUUGCUUUUUUUAAUGCACUUUUCGUUUAACAAGUCAACAUCAGUUUCUUUUGUUGUAAAAAGGUCAUUGGAAGGUGGCUUUCUUUUCGGAGAAAGUGUUUAUAGCCUUUGACUCCUGCAAUCGGAGAGACUGAGGUCUGCAGCGUAGAUCCUUCGGGGUUAGAUACAUUUGUGCUAAGUUAUAGCUUUUUAUAGACAACUUGUUGACUAUGAUUAGUCUUGUAGCUUACUCGCUUAUGCUAUUUUACCUACGCUUAGGAUGUUGAAGACUCUACAGAGAUA